CAUUUCAAAGCUUUCACAGCUAACACGAGGAGUUACAAUUUUAACACGUGGAAGCACAGCUGGUUUCUCGAUUAAAUCUCGAACAACCGUUGAGAAGUAACGCCAUCUCCGACUAAGAAAAAUCCAGAAUAUUUGCUCUCUCCGUUUAUGUCUUGUUGUCAAGUUUGCACUUCAAUGUGUUUCUUUCUGUCAAUCCUAUUUUCUGGUGUCCAAAGUGCGAGGAGCUAAAACUUCCUCGUGAAGGGGCUGCUUUCUGGAUUGUUUCAAGGCAUCUUGGAGCUCUCACAAGGAUUUUGUGAAGUUCUUGCUUGAUCUGCUGCUAUAUAUCAAGAAAGUAUCUUGUACUUGGCUCUUAAUUGCACUUCUCAUUUGUUUGAUGGCAUGCUUUGCCAUGGUUUCAAGUGUUUUAGACUUUUUGCUUGGAUGAAAUUGGUGGAAUAGCAGUUUUAGAAAUGAAAAUUUAAAGGGGGCUAUCAAUUAUAGAUCAAGUUCCUUUUCUGACAGACUAUGGUCUCUUCUUUGUCCUCGAAUUAUGUAGCGGCGUAACAGUUUAUGAUUAAGCAAAUAAAUAUAUUUCUGUGUUUUCUUA